GAUGAACGUUGGCGGUGUGCCUAAUACAUGCAAGUCGAACGGAGACUGUAGCAAUACUGUCUUAGUGGCGAACGGGUGAGUAACGCGUUGGUGAUCUGCCUCGAAGUGUGGAAUAACCUCCCGAAAGGGAAGCUAAUACCGCAUAGUCUCUCAAGGUUUAGAAAAUUGAGAGUAAAGGAUUUAUUCGCUUCGAGAGGAGCCUGCGUCCCAUCAGCUAGUUGGUAGGGUAACGGCCUACCAAGGCAAUGACGGGUAGGGGACCUGAGAGGACGAUCCCCCACACUGGUACUGAGACACGGACCAGACUCCUACGGGAGGCAGCAGUGAGGAAUAUUGGUCAAUGGGCGCAAGCCUGAACCAGCCAUCCCGCGUGAAGGAAGAAUGCGCUACGCGUUGUAAACUUCUUUUCCAGGGGGAGAAUAAUCCUGUCGUGACAGGACUUGACGGUACUCUGGGAAUAAGCAUCGGCUAACUCCGUG
rnacentral:rRNA from 1 species